UGGUUCAAGGGCCCUUCCCCAAAA
rnacentral:tRNA from 1 species